CAGCAGCCGCGGUAAAACGUAGGGUGCAAGCGUUAAUCGGAAUUACUGGGCGUAAAGCGUGCGCAGGCGGUUAUAUAAGUCAGAUGUGAAAUCCCCGGGCUCAACCUGGGAACUGCAUUUGAGACUGUAUGGCUAGAGUGUGUCAGAGGGGGGUAGAAUUCCACGUGUAGCAGUGAAAUGCGUAGAUAUGUGGAGGAAUACCGAUGGCGAAGGCAGCCCCCUGGGAUAACACUGACGCUCAUGCACGAAAGCGUGGGGAGCAAACAGGAUUAGAUACCCGUGUAGUCCCUGUCUCUUAUAC
rnacentral:rRNA from 1 species